AUGGAUCCUCUCAAAGUAAACGAGCUUCAGGCCUUUGUGAAAAUGUGUAAGCAAGAUCCGAGCGUCUUGCACACUGAAGAAAUGCGCUUUCUGAGGGAGUGGGUGGAGAGCAUGGGGGGUAAAGUACCACCUGCUACUCAGAAAGCUAAAUCAGAAGAAAAUAUCAAGGAGGAAAAUGCAGAUAGUAAGAAGAUGGGGAAAAACAUAAAGACAGACGAGCCAUCAAGUGAAGAAAGUGAUUUAGAGAUCGACAAUGAAGGUGUAAUUGAGCCAGGUACUGAUACCCCUCAAGAAAUGGGAGAUGAAAAUGUAGAGAUAACUGAGGAGAUGAUGGAUCAAGCAAAUGAAAAGAAAGGAGCUGCCAUUGAUGCUCUAAAUGAUGGUGAACUACAGAAAGCCAUUGACUUGUUCACAGAUGCCAUCAAGCUGAAUCCUUGCUUGGCCAUUCUGUAUGCCAAGAGAGCCAGUGUCUUCAUCAAAUUGCAGAAGCCAAAUGCUGCCAUUCGAGAUUGUGACAGAGUCAUUGAAAUAAAUCCUGAUUCAGCCCAACUGUACAAGUGACAAGGGAAAGCACGCAGACUUCUGGGCCAUUGGGAAGAAGCAGCCCAUGAUCUUGCCCUUGCUUGUAAACUGGAUUAUGAUGAGGAUGCAAGUGCAAUGCUUAAAGAAGUUCAGCCAAGGGUGCAGAAAAUUGCUGAACAUCGGAGAAAGUAUGAGCGAAAACGUGAAGAACGAGAGAUCAAAGAAAGAAUAGAAAGGGUUAAGAAGGCUCGAGAAGAGCAUGAAAAAGCCCAGAGGGAAGAAGAAGCCAGAAGACAAUCGGGAGCUCAGUAUGGCUCUUUUCCAGGUGGCUUUCCUGGAGCGAUGCCUGGUAAUUUCCCAGGAGGAAUGCCUGGGAUGGGAGUGGGCAUGGCAGGAAUGUCUGGACUCAAUGAGAUUCUUAGUGAUCCAGAGGUCCUUGCAGCUAUGCAGGAUCCAGAAGUUAUGGUGGCCUUCCAGGAUGUGGCUCAGAAUCCUGUAAAUAUGUCAAAAUAUCAGAGUAAUCCAAAGGUUAUGAAUCUCAUCAGUAAAUUGUCAGCCAAAUUUGGAGGUCAAGCAUAAUGCUUAUCUGACAAAGCCCUUCCUAAA